UGGGGAAUAUUGCACAAUGGGCGCAAGCCUGAUGCAGCCAUGCCGCGUGUGUGAAGAAGGCCUUCGGGUUGUAAAGCACUUUCAGCGGGGAGGAAGGCGAUAAGGUUAAUAACCUUGUCGAUUGACGUUACCCGCAGAAGAAGCACCGGCUAACUCCGUGCCAGCAGCCGCGGUAAUACGGAGGGUGCAAGCGUUAAUCGGAAUUACUGGGCGUAAAGCGCACGCAGGCGGUCUGUCAAGUCGGAUGUGAAAUCCCCGGGCUCAACCUGGGAACUGCAUUCGAAACUGGCAGGCUAGAGUCGUGUAGAGGGGGGUAGAAUUCCAGGUGUAGCGGUGAAAUGCGUAGAGAUCUGGAGGAAUACCGGUGGCGAAGGCGGCCCCCUGGACAAAGACUGACGCUCAGGUGUGAAAGCGUGGGGAGCAAACAGG
rnacentral:rRNA from 1 species